GACGGAGGAUGCAAGCGUUAUCCGGAAUGAUUGGGCGUAAAGCGUCCGCAGGUGGCAGUUCAAGUCUGCUGUCAAAGACCGGGGCUUAACUUCGGAAAGGCAGUGGAAACUGAACAGCUAGAGUAUGGUAGGGGCAGAGGGAAUUCCUGGUGUAGCGGUGAAAUGCGUAGAGAUCAGGAAGAACAUCGGUGGCGAAGGCGCUCUGCUGGACCAUAACUGACACUCAGGGACGAAAGCUAAGGGAGCGAAUGGG
rnacentral:rRNA from 1 species